rnacentral:snRNA from 1 species
GUGUUUGCUUCAGCAGCAUGUAUACUAAAAUUGGAAUGAUAUAGAGAAGAUAAGCAUGGCCCCUGCACAAGGAUGACACACAAAUUCAUGAAGCAUCCCAUAUUUUA